GAGAGAGAUUCGACAUAACAAAAACUGCUAAUUUUUGCCACCCUGGUUAAACCCCCGGGCUCACUCG
rnacentral:tRNA from 1 species